rnacentral:tRNA from 1 species
UCCUCGGUAGCUCAGUUGGUAGAAUAAUCGGGUGUUAACCGAUCGGUCGGAGGUUCGAGUCCGUCCCGAGGAGCCA